GGUCAAAUAGUUUAAAUUAAAACGUUGAGCUGUUAAUUCAAAAUUGCAGUAAUUAGCUUUGGCUU
rnacentral:tRNA from 1 species